rnacentral:rRNA from 1 species
GACGUAGGAUGCGAGCGUUGUCCGGAUUUAUUGGGCGUAAAGGGUUCGUAGGCGGUUUGUUAAGUCUGGUGUUAAAGAUCGGGGCCCAACCCUGGGAGUGCACUGGAUACUGGCAGACUGGAGUGCGGUAGAGGUUAGUGGAAUUCCUGGUGUAGCGGUGAAAUGCGUAGAUAUCAGGAAGAACACCAGUGGCGUAGGCGACUAACUGGGCCGUAACUGACGCUGAUGAACGAAAGCCAGGGGAG